AGACAUGUCUCAGUUUCAUUUACUGUAACUAUUAGUUGACUCUAUAUUCCCAAAUAUUGAUAUAGUAGUUAAAAUUGAUGUAUUCAUAACACAUUUUGGAACAAAGUUUCACUUUCAAGGCAAUGAAGGGAUGAAUGUUCAAUCUAAUUGAGCUAGCCUACAGGUAGGACCAUUGAUGGCUCACACAAGCUGUUGAAAGCCAGGUGAGAUGACCAUUAAUAAUAAAGAGAUGUCUGGAACAACUGUACUGACUUCACUGCUGAGACAACGAGUAUGAAUAAUGAUCUCACUGCUGAACUUUGCAGAAUAGAAUGAAUUGUCCUUGACUUUUCUCUUCUAGAUGAGGGGGAAAAAUCCCUAAAACCAUCGCACCUGGCAAAAAAACCAAACCUUUCUUUGUAUGGACAGAAAUAGUAUAUAAUUUGGACUUAUCAUAGACAUCAUAAAUAAGGGAAUACUGAGAACUACCUCAGAAAAUGUAAAUAUGAAUAAACAGCAUCUGUCUUCCAUUUAAGGCAGAUAUGGCAUUGAGGCCACCUUGUCUGAAUAUUGACCCUAAAAGGUUUUUGCUUGAUCAUUCUUGAGCAGUAGGAGCAUCUGAAUGAAGAACAUGAUCCUAUCACCAUUGGAGUCAGUGGGAAUUUUGGACCAGGAUUUAAAUCUGAACACGAUUUGUACCAUAAUGAGGAACAUAGUAUUUCUACUGACCCCAAAGCCUUUCAUGCUUCUUAAUGGUAUCAGACAGAAUAAAACAAGAAUAUUCUCCAAGAAAAAGAAGAAAUACAGCAUUGAGUGUGAUAUUUAAAAAAUUGCUACAUGAGACAUACAGUAACAUGCAAUAACUGGGUUUUCUAUCACAUUUUGUAGUUUGAAUGGUCAUAAAAGAAUGAUGAUGGUC